rnacentral:rRNA from 1 species
GCAUAACGCGAAGAACCUUACCAGGUCUUGACAUCCCUCUGACGGAUCCUUAACCGGAUCUUCUCUUCGGAGCAGAGGUGACAGGUGGUGCAUGGUUGUCGUCAGCUCGUGUCGUGAGAUGUUGGGUUAAGUCCCGCAACGAGCGCAACCCUUAUCUUUAGUAGCCAGCAGUUCGGCUGGGCACUCUAGAGAGACUGCCAGGGAUAACCUGGAGGAAGGUGGGGAUGACGUCAAAUCAUCAUGCCCCUUAUGAUCUGGGCUACACACGUGCUACAAUGGUGAUAACAAAGUGAAGCAGCCUCGUGAGAGUGAGCAAAUCACAAAAAAGUCAUCUCAGUUCGGAUUGUAGUCUGCAACUCGACUACAUGAAGCUGGAAUCGCUAGUAACGUUACCGCGAAUCAGAAUGUCGCGGUGAAUACGUU